rnacentral:rRNA from 1 species
UGGGGAAUAUUGGACGAUGGGCGAAAGCCUGAUCCAGCCAUGCCGCGUGUGUGAAGAAGGUCUUCGGAUUGUAAAGCACUUUAAGUUGGGAGGAAGGGCAGUAAGCGAAUACCUUGCUGUUUUGACGUUACCGACAGAAUAAGCACCGGCUAACUCUGUGCCAGCAGCCGCGGUAAUACAGAGGGUGCAAGCGUUAAUCGGAAUUACUGGGCGUAAAGCGCGCGUAGGUGGUUCGUUAAGUUGAAUGUGAAAGCCCCGGGCUCAACCUGGGAACUGCAUCCAAAACUGGCGAGCUAGAGUAGGGCAGAGGGUGGUGGAAUUUCCUGUGUAGCGGUGAAAUGCGUAGAUAUAGGAAGGAACACCAGUGGCGAAGGCGACCACCUGGGCUCAUACUGACACUGAGGUGCGAAAGCGUGGGGAGCAAACAGG